AAUCCUGGGAGUUGAAGUCCACUCACCUUCGAUUGGCCAAGGUUGAGAUACACUGCUUUAUCAGAAUAUGAAGAAGCUCCUGUUCACAGGAAUAGAAAUUCCUUCCAAAUCUUCCCUUUGAACAUGUCUGCCUAAGGAGAGUUUAUACAGAGUGAAGAAUUUCCUUGCAAGCACAAUGUUAUCAAUGAAGCCACAACUAGCCAAUUUGACACGGAUGAUGAUCUGGCGAUCAGGAACCAUCAUUGCCACUGAGCGGAAGUUGAUUUUCAGGUUUUCAGGCUCCAUUUUCUGCAUCAAAAGCUUUUGCGAAGGAAAUGGAAGGGUGUGUAAGAACACAAGAUCAAACGAGAACAGCUUCAUCAGCAUCUGAGAAGAUGGUCGCUUUUCUGCCAUGUGGCCCUGAGCUCUGCCGAUCUUUGAAAGGUCAAAACAAUUGCAAUUUGCUGGGCAGCAACAGACAGCACUGGUAAAUCAAUGCGGUUAAAUUCAUCAAAGCAGCCCCAGGAUCCAGACUGAGCAAGACCUUAAAUCAGAGGAAAGGUUGUUAUUAAAAGGAGUCAGCCCUGCGCUCAUUUUGCAUAAUUAGAUAUCAAAUCCCAGUGUUUUGUAAAUUUUUAAAAAAGUUAAAGCAAGUUCAGAGAAGGCUAGAGCUGAAUUUAUGAUAUUUAAAAUGUGCUUGAAAUGUUGGUACUUCUAUCAGAUAAAAGGAUUAAAAUCAAGAUGCCUGAAAGAAGCAAA